ACCGUCCGUUGGAUCUACCUUCUCUGUUCCUUGGAUUUAACAGAGCACUCAGGUCUUGUCCCUCUGUCUGUGUCAUUUGUUUGGGAAGAAGACAGAUUUCCUAGUGGGUUUUUUGCUCAGCAGCUCUCUUCACUCGAAUUUGGUCUGGCUCACCACCUGCUAUGAAGAGGAUAAGCUUCUUUCACUGCAAAGACUUUAAACCUGUGAUCUUCUGUCCUUCAAGCAACACGGAUCUUCACCGUUAAUCUGACGUGAGCUGAAGAGAUUUCGAAUUUACGAUGUCAAUUUCGGAGAAAUCAAGGCCGUGCUCACCUUCCUCAUCUUCCUCAUCACUGUCACCGAUGUCGGUCCAUGAUUUUGAUCCGUUGCUGAAAGAUUUGAAUGAGAGGAAGCAGAGUUUUCGCCGGAAUGUGGUGUCGUUGGCAUCGGAGUUGAAAGAUGUUCGGAGCCGGUUAGCGUCUCAGGAGCAAUCAUUUGUUAAAGAAACCCUCACAAGACAGGAAGCAGAGACAAAAGCCAAACACUUGGAAGAGGACAUUAGCAUAAUGCAGAAGAGAUUGGAACAGAGAAAUCAGCAGCUUGAGGUCUCAGCAUCUGCUGCCGAGAAGUACCUCACCGAAUUGGAUGGUCUGAGAUCACAACUUUCAGCCACUCAAGCAACUGCGGAUAUUAGUGCUGCAUCAGCUCAAUCGGCACAGCUUCAGUGUUUAGCACUUUUGAAGGAAUUAGAUGAAAAGAACUGCUCGUUAAAAGAGCAAGAUGAUCGUGUAAUUAGGCUAGGAGAGCAAUUAGAUAAUCUGCCCGAAGGAUCUUAAGCUAGAGAGUGUUCCCAGAAGCAACUGAAAGAUGAAGUUUGAGAAUGGAGCAGGAUAUUAUGCAAGCUGUCGCAAAAGCGGGGCUGAACAAGGCCUGGUGAGCUGCGGGAAAAUAUUGGAUGAGGUAUCUCCAAAGAAUAUUGUAGAAGAAGAGAUCAAUAAGCUUUUAGUUGUGAAGGAUGAAGAAAUAGCAAAACUGAAAGAUGAAAUCAGGGUAAUGUCUGCUCAUUGGAAGCUCAAAACUAAGGAGUGUGAAUCACAGUUGGAGAAACAACGACGAGUUGAUCAGGAACUGAAAAAGAGGGUUUUGAAAUUAGAGUUUUGUCUACAGGAAGCUCGUGCUCAAACACGAAAGCUUCAAAGGAUGGGUGAGCGGAGAGACAAGGCUCUGAAAGAGCUCAGAGAUCAGUUACAGCAGGGUGGCGGUGGAGCUGCAGCUGCUGAAAGACAAAACUUUUGGGAAACCUCCGGUUUAAAAUCAUGAUGUCUAUGUCCAUGUUGAUCUUGGUGGUGUUCUCAAAGCGAUGAAAUCAUUGUACUGUCGAGUGUCGUGUAUAAACAGCAUGAAACUUUAGUUUUAGUCAAAGAAUUAGGAGUAGCUGCACAGGCCACAGUUGUAGAGGUUCUCGUUACGUAGCAUUAGCAGAUAAUGCAAUUUUGUUGUUCUCGUUAAAACCACAUUAGCGUAUGAAUAUCAAAUUUGCAGGUAGGUUCUGUGAAUUUUAAUACCUCAAGUUUUCCUCA